rnacentral:rRNA from 1 species
UGGCGGACGGGUGAGUAAUGUCUGGGAAACUGCCCGAUGGAGGGGGGUAACUACUGGAAACGGUAGCUAAUACCGCAUAACGUCGCAAGACCAAAGAGGGGGACCUUCGGGCCUCUUGCCAUCGGAUGUGCCCAGAUGGGAUUGGCUAGUAGGUGGGGUAACGGCUCACCUAGGCGACGAUCCCUAGCUGGUCUGAGAGGAUGACCAGCCACACUGGAACUGAGACACGGUCCAG